GGGUUGUGAGGUUAAGCGACUAAGCGUACACGGUGGAUGCCCUGGCAGUCAGAGGCGAUGAAGGGCGUGCUAAUCUGCGAUAAGCGCCGGUAAGGUGAUAUGAACCGUUAUAACCGGCGAUACCCGAAUGGGGAAACCCAGUGUGACUCGUCACACUAUCAUUAACUGAAUCCAUAGGUUAAUGAGGCGAACCGGGGGAACUGAAACAUCUAAGUACCCCGAGGAAAAGAAAUCAACCGAGAUUCCCCCAGUAGCGGCGAGCGAACGGGGAGGAGCCCAGAGCCUGAAUCAGCAUGUGUGUUAGUGGAAGCGUCUGGAAAGGCGCGCGAUACAGGGUGACAGCCCCGUACACAAAAGCGCAUGUGCUGUGAGCUCGAUGAGUAGGGCGGGACACGUGGUAUCCUGUCUGAAUAUGGGGGGACCAUCCUCCAAGGCUAAAUACUCCUGACUGACCGAUAGUGAACCAGUACCGUGAGGGAAAGGCGAAAAGAACCCCGGCGAGGGGAGUGAAAAAGAACCUGAAACCGUGUACGUACAAGCAGUGGGAGCACCCUUUGGGUGUGACUGCGUACCUUUUGUAUAAUGGGUCAGCGACUUAUAUUCUGUAGCAAGGUUAACCGAAUAGGGGAGCCGGAGGGAAACCGAGUCUUAACCGGGCGUUAAGUUGCAGGGUAUAGACCCGAAACCCGGUGAUCUAGCCAUGGGCAGGUUGAAGGUUGGGUAACACUAACUGGAGGACCGAACCGACUAAUGUUGAAAAAUUAGCGGAUGACCUGUGGCUGGGGGUGAAAGGCCAAUCAAACCGGGAGAUAGCUGGUUCUCCCCGAAAGCUAUUUAGGUAGCGCCUCGUGAAUUCAUCUCCGGGGGUAGAGCACUGUUUCGGCUAGGGGGCCAUCCCGGCUUACCAACCCGAUGCAAACUGCGAAUACCGGAGAAUGUUAUCACGGGAGACACACGGCGGGUGCUAACGUCCGUCGUGAAGAGGGAAACAACCCAGACCGCCAGCUAAGGUCCCAAAGUCAUGGUUAAGUGGGAAACGAUGUGGGAAGGCCCAGACAGCCAGGAUGUUGGCUUAGAAGCAGCCAUCAUUUAAAGAAAGCGUAAUAGCUCACUGGUCGAGUCGGCCUGCGCGGAAGAUGUAACGGGGCUAAACCGAUGCACCGAAGCUGCGGCAGCGACACUGUGUGUUGUUGGGUAGGGGAGCGUUCUGUAAGCCUGUGAAGGUGUGUCUGUGAGGCAUGGCUGGAGGUAUCAGAAGUGCGAAUGCUGACAUAAGUAACGAUAAAGCGGGUGAAAAGCCCGCUCGCCGGAAGACCAAGGGUUCCUGUCCAACGUUAAUCGGGGCAGGGUGAGUCGACCCCUAAGGCGAGGCCGAAAGGCGUAGUCGAUGGGAAACGGGUUAAUAUUCCCGUACUUGGUGUUACUGCGAAGGGGGGACGGAGAAGGCUAUGUUGGCCGGGCGACGGUUGUCCCGGUUUAAGCGUGUAGGUGUGUGUUCCAGGUAAAUCCGGUUCACUUUAACACUGAGGCGUGACGACGAGGCACUACGGUGCUGAAGCAACAAAUGCCCUGCUUCCAGGAAAAGCCUCUAAGCAUCAGGUAACAUCAAAUCGUACCCCAAACCGACACAGGUGGUCAGGUAGAGAAUACCAAGGCGCUUGAGAGAACUCGGGUGAAGGAACUAGGCAAAAUGGUGCCGUAACUUCGGGAGAAGGCACGCUGACACGUAGGUGAAGUGAUUUACUCAUGGAGCUGAAGUCAGUCGAAGAUACCAGCUGGCUGCAACUGUUUAUUAAAAACACAGCACUGUGCAAACACGAAAGUGGACGUAUACGGUGUGACGCCUGCCCGGUGCCGGAAGGUUAAUUGAUGGGGUCAGCGCAAGCGAAGCUCCUGAUCGAAGCCCCGGUAAACGGCGGCCGUAACUAUAACGGUCCUAAGGUAGCGAAAUUCCUUGUCGGGUAAGUUCCGACCUGCACGAAUGGCGUAAUGAUGGCCAGGCUGUCUCCACCCGAGACUCAGUGAAAUUGAACUCGCUGUGAAGAUGCAGUGUACCCGCGGCAAGACGGAAAGACCCCGUGAACCUUUACUAUAGCUUGACACUGAACAUUGAGCCUUGAUGUGUAGGAUAGGUGGGAGGCUUUGAAGUGUGGACGCCAGUCUGCAUGGAGCCGACCUUGAAAUACCACCCUUUAAUGUUUGAUGUUCUAACGUGGACCCGUUACCCGGGUUGCGGACAGUGUCUGGUGGGUAGUUUGACUGGGGCGGUCUCCUCCUAAAGAGUAACGGAGGAGCACGAAGGUUGGCUAAUCCUGGUCGGACAUCAGGAGGUUAGUGCAAUGGCAUAAGCCAGCUUGACUGCGAGCGUGACGGCGCGAGCAGGUGCGAAAGCAGGUCAUAGUGAUCCGGUGGUUCUGAAUGGAAGGGCCAUCGCUCAACGGAUAAAAGGUACUCCGGGGAUAACAGGCUGAUACCGCCCAAGAGUUCAUAUCGACGGCGGUGUUUGGCACCUCGAUGUCGGCUCAUCACAUCCUGGGGCUGAAGUAGGUCCCAAGGGUAUGGCUGUUCGCCAUUUAAAGUGGUACGCGAGCUGGGUUUAGAACGUCGUGAGACAGUUCGGUCCCUAUCUGCCGUGGGCGCUGGAGAACUGAGGGGGGCUGCUCCUAGUACGAGAGGACCGGAGUGGACGCAUCACUGGUGUUCGGGUUGUCAUGCCAAUGGCACUGCCCGGUAGCUAAAUGCGGAAGAGAUAAGUGCUGAAAGCAUCUAAGCACGAAACUUGCCCCGAGAUGAGUUCUCCCUGAGACUUAAAGUCUCCUGAAGGAACGUUGAAGACGACGACGUUGAUAGGCCGGGUGUGUAAGCGCAGCGAUGCGUUGAGCUAACCGGUACUAAUGAACCGUGAGGCUUAACCUUACAACGCCGAAG
rnacentral:rRNA from 1 species